UUUAAUUCUUGCCAGAGGACGUUCUAUGGAUCGACUGCGAAUUGAAGUUACUAUCGUCUUCCUAAGCUCUGAGGAAUAGCAAGAAGUCUGUUCGGGAAGGGAGCUGACACAGCCAAGGCCCAGCCUCACUGCCAGGCUGCCAGGCUCCAACCGUCCACUCUACACUGAGAAGGGACCUGAAAAAAUCGCCACAGGAGAAGAGACCAGGGUGCCACAGGGAACCCACACAUCUACUCGGAGAAACGCCUGAGAUGAUCAGUUCAGAAGGAAGACUGAGUUCUUUGUUUGGACUCACGGUCUCGGGAGGUUUCCAUUCCAUGGAUUCUGAGCCUCUGAGAACACAAAGCUUUCUGGCAGGGGAGCAAGUACCUUCUCAGCUCAUCACGGUGGUCUGGAAGCAACUAGUGCUGGUAGCACAGCCCCUCCUUGAAAAACCAUGCAUCUAUGAACCCAGUUGGAGUAUGUGGUGACUUGUGCUCACUGCUGGGAGCAUGUGGCUGUUAACAUCUGGCUGAGCCAUUGAUUGUAUCGGAGCUUACAGGAUCCAUUCACUUCCCAAAGGUCCCCACUUCUAGACACAUAAACUUGGGGGGGUUAAAAAGUCAAAGCCUAGACGCAAGUAUGAGGGGCCCUUCAUUCUUAAUGUGCUUUUGUGACGUGUCUCAGAACCUACAGUCUCUCUUCCUACACAAUACCAUUGUAUAGGAAUCACCAGGCAGUUCUGGGGUAGCCUGGAAAAUUUAUCCAACGGUCAAUGGAUGGAGAAGGACUCAGACUCUAAACACAACCUCCCUCAGAGGUCUAGGAUGGGAUUUUUGCUAUGAGUAGGAUGUGAGGGGUGUAGUACCCAUGUUGUUCUUAGAAAUUUUCAUGGAGAAAGUUUCCCAGGGAUCAGGGAACCACUUCUUUUUUUCCCCAAUUCUGGGCAUGGUCAAAUCUGUUAUACCAGGGGCUGUGUUUUGUAUAGUUACAGUUUUAACUGCAAUGAGCACAAGACUGUGUGCAGCAUUGGCAGAGCACCUAAGUCAGAUGAAAGUGAUCUGGUUUCACCUGGGUAGUUGGCGUAUGUGAUAACUCAGAGGUCAUUGAUGGGAAUAUGUAGCUGUUAGCACUGGCUUUAACUUUUUCCAGCAAGCAGUAUAACUGACACAACAGCAGGCCAUCAAUAGUUUCCAGGUUCGGUCUGGUGUCAGAGUCAAAUUGUGGCUUAAAGCUAGUGCUUGUUUCAAUGAAUGUCGCUUGAAUUAGACCAGAUUUCUAUCCCGAUACUGGGACUUGCUCCCAAGCUAGAAGUGUACAGGUGAAAGCAUUGGAUUUAGAAUCGGAUGAUUCUGCUGAAAACUCUCAAGUACACCUAAGAUGCUCUGGGCACAGAGGAAUGUUAGGAAGAGCCAUGGAAGGCAAAUAAGAGUUAGUAUCACAUGCACAUGCACACGUUACCCAUACCAAUAUAUUGAGAAGGCUGGGGGUGUAGGUAAGGGAUCGCAUGAAAAAGUCUAUAUGAUGAGAUAAGAGGUUUGGAGUUGUUGGCAUGGAGAAUCUAUUACUGCAUGUCUAAGUAAAAAAGAAACAUACAGUCAAAGAUUAGUUGAGGGGCUGGAGAGAUGGCUCAGUGGUUAAGACCCCUGACUGCUCUUCCAGAGGUCCUGAGUUCAAUU